rnacentral:SRP_RNA from 1 species
GUUGGGCGUGGUAUCUGGUGCAUGUGAUCCCUGCUCCUGGAGAAGCUGAGGCUCGUGGAUCACUUGGUCUCUGGAGUUCUGAGCCGUAUUGGGCUGAGCUAAUUGGGUGCCAAUACUAAGUCUGGCACCAAUGUGAUAAGCUUAGAAAGCAGAGGGCCCACCAGGUUGCUUAAGGAGGAGCAAAGAAGCCCAUGUUGGAAAGAGGUCAAAGCUUCCUUGCUCCUCAGCAAUGGGACUGGGCCUAUGAGUAGUUACUGCACUUUCAGUCUGGGUGAGAUAGGGAGACCUGAUCUCA